AUAUGUGUGGGUCUGUCUGCUUUCUUCGCAAAGCAUCUCCCUUUGCUGCUCUUCUUGCUGCUCCUGCCAUUACUUUUCGUAACUUUAGUUCUUUGGAAUUUCCAUUCCUUUCUUUUUCCUUAGGCAUCAGGACAUGGCUGUUGAAGUAAUUUAUGUCCUAAGAGGCUGUACCACAAUGAGCUAAAGCAAGCACUGGCUUUUGUGGGAGGCCCUGGCUAUUCUAGCUUUAACAAGGAGAACAUGAUUGGAAACUUGAAUUAUGAGAUGGAAAGAGUNNNNNNNNNNNNNNNNNNNNNNNNNNNUCAGCCUUUUCAAGUAAUCUCUGCAAUAGCUUGAAGAGUUAGGAAAUGACAGAGUAGCAACGUAACAUACCUACCACGUGGUUGUUGCUCAUAGAUGUUCAGCGCCGUUGGCAUUCGGUUGUUUUCUUCCAGAAUAUUUUCUGUGCAUACGUAUACAGGGAUGCAGCUUUACAAAAAUGGAAUCAUAAUUGACAGAUGUUUCUGAACCUUCUUUCCUCCCUUCACAGUUAUGUUGUGAACCUCUUUCCUUGCUGAUAAAGGCAGGUCUUUAAAAUAUGUUGAUGGAGCACGAAUGGACUUCCCGUGUGGCUCACAACAUAAAAUAUGUUGAUGGCUGAGUUUUUCAGUGCUUGGAUAUAAGGGUGAACAUUCUCUGACUCCACCAAUGGUACAGGCCCCUUUGUCCUCUGUCUUUUUCUCUUUCCUGCUGGGCCCCCUUGCAGGCCUCUUGCGCUGGUCUUACCUGUGGUCAGAUAAGAAACCUGAAUGAGGGAAAACCUAGGAACCCUAGGCGAUGGCUACACUCUGGUGGCGUUCUCUCCUCCUGGUCAGGACUUGUGGGAAAUGAUCAUGCUUCCGUCUUCACCUCCUUCAGGCACCUCAGCGUGUCUUUUCCUGGAAGGCUUCCUUUCCCGGAGAUUCCUGGUAUCCUCUGUUUACGUUCCCUCAGGGCUCAUGACUCAUGACUCAUAACCUCACCUGUAGCGAGCUUCCACUUCUCUCAUGUCUCUAGCUUGGCCUGGACCAGCGAAGACUCCUCCUUGUGCCUCCUUUUGACUCCAUCAUGUCCCUUCCCCACUGUCUGGAGGGCGCCGCUCACCUUCCAGAUUCCAUGUUGAAAUCCCAACCACAGUCCCAACACCUCCUUUCUUGACCUGCAGGUGACUUGUCAACUUAUAACCUUUGUCUUGGGGUCAAGUGCGGUGCUCUGCUGACACUCUUCCCUGGCUUGUUCUACCUCCAAACCUUGCCUGUGCCGUCACCUCCAUCUGCAGCACUGUGUGCCCUGCCAGUUCUUCACCCAUGAGCCAAUGCCUGCUCGUCUUUGAAACCCUGGCUGGGAGUCAUCUGCAUCUUUUCUGAUGAACUCCCUUGGACUCUAGCUAAUAUCCAGAAAGACAACUGGAGGGAAAAAACCGCAAACAGCUGAUAGUACAUUUUUUUUUUUUUUAAUUAACAGACUUUAAAUUUUUAGAGCAGUUUUACCUUUACAGAAAAAUGUAUUGAAAAGUACAAAGAGUUCCUGUAUUUUCUGCCUCAUGCACCCCCCCCAUCACAGUGCUCCCUGUUAUUAACCUCUUGAGUUGAAGUGGAACCACUAUUGAUAGACUUGCUAUUCACUGAACUUCAGAGUUUCCAGUAGGGCUCAUUCUUUCUGUUGUACAGCCUGUGGGUUUUGACAGAUAUAUGCAAUGGUAUGUGUCCACCAUUGUAGGAUCACAUGGAAGAGUUCCACCACCCUAAAAAUUCUCUGUGCUCUAUUCGUCACCCCCUCCUGACCCCUAAAUCCUUCAUCUUUUUGCUGUCAACAUAGUUUUGCCUUUUCCAGACUCCUGUGGAUAAAUACCAAAGGAGCGUGAUUGCUGGGUCAUAUAGUAAGAGUAUGUUUCAUUUUGUAAGAAACUGCCAAACUCUCCGCCAAAGUGGCCGUACCAUUUUGUGUUCCCUCCAGCAGCGAAGGAGAGUUCCUGUUCAUAUUCUCACCAGUAUUUGGUGUUAUCAGCAUUCUGGAUUUUGGCCAUCCUGAUAGAUAUGUAGUGGUGUCUCGUUGUUUUAAUGUGAAAUUCCCUAAUGAGAUGAUAGGGAGCAUCUUUUCAUAGGCUUAUUUGCCAUCUAUAGAUCUUUUUUUAGUGAAGUGUCUGUUCAGAUCUUUUGCCCAUUUUUUAAUUGGAUUCUGUGCUUUAUAAUUAGAGUUAUUUUUUUCUGUAGCUCUGUUUUUGCUGUUAUUUCUUUUGUGCAUCAAGCUGGUUCUUACUGUGCUGUUAGAUGAAUGCUACUUGAAGGCAUGCUUGCCUUCCUUGGUAAACCCAUCUGCUGGUAAACCCAUCCGCCUCCCAGAGUGAUGUUUGCUUCUGAGUUGUCCUGAAUGUGUGCUUUGCUACCUUGUUAUGUAUCCAGGCCAAUUUGUUCUUAAAAUAUCCAAGAGCAAGAACCAAGACCUUAGAAGAUGAUGGUUUGCGUAACAUAGUUCACAGCGUUUAUGUCCAUGUCUGAAUCUGGUUUUAAGUUUCAGAAAUUCCUUGUUUUCCUUUGCAUUAAUUCCUAAAUUUUACUCUUUGCGUCAUGAUUUAGUAGCAUGUUUUUAAAUAAAAUGUUGUCUCUGAUGUCUAUUUAGUUUUACCUGCUGUCUGCAAAAAGUUGUUCGAACUUCAUCUUGCUGACCUGCUAAAAGCAGUAAAUCUAUGGCAAUAAGUGACAAGUGUAGGCUGAUCCGUAUACAAGACCAGGAAUUGCCUGUUCGAUAUUUGCAAUGAUAAGUAAAGUGGCAGGACAUCAAUACUAGUGAAAUUUCUGAAUCAUUCACUACACUGUAGAUAAUGCAGAGCUUCCCAGCCCAGUUUGUAACAAAUGGGCUACUGGUGUGUUAGCCUUUGGACGUCCUUGACCCCUGAUGCCCCAGAGCCCCUGGAAGGGGGCUGACUGUUGAUGCUGGUAUGCUGCUGCCCAAGUGUUACUUUUCUCUGUAAGUUGUGCCACUAGAGAGAGUGAGGGAGACAGAGGACAAGGCCCUAGCACACCGUGGCUUAAUAUAGAGUGGACUAAACAGUGAUUGAGAAUUCACAAGUAUCUAGUUCAUUGUCAGCUCUCUGAGAGCAGAGAUUUUUGUCUGCUUAAAUUAGCUCACGGUUCUCUCCUCACACCUGAAACAGUGUUUGGUACAUAGUAAGUGCUUAGUCACUAUUUAUCGAUUUAAUUCAUGAAACAUACCUGAAUAAUAAAUUCAUUGACCAUGUCACAACCCUCUCUGUUCCUCAGUUUCUAGAGAUAGAAGUGUAAUUUAUUUCCAUAUAACAGAUGGUAAUGUGUAGGUCAAUAAUAGGGCUCUUUUUUCACCCCCAACAAACAACUUUUUGUUUGUUUAGAAAAGCUUUAUUCAUAAUCGCCAAAAAUCAGAAGUCACCCCAGAUAAUCCUUCAAUGUGGUGAAUUAACAGACAUCAGACUAUCAUACAUCCACACAAUAGAGUAUUACCCAGAACGAAAAGAAACUAUUGAUACAUGCAGGAUAAAAGAAUUCAAAUGCAUUAUGCCAUCAAAGAAGCCAGUCUCAAGAAGUUACAUACAUACUGUAUAAUUCCAUUUACAUGACAUUCUGGAAGUGGCAAAAAGACCUGUAAGAAUGAAGAAAAGAUUGGUGAUUGCCAUGGAUAGGAGUGGAGCAAAGGUUUAACUACAGGGCUGUGUGAGGGAGAUCUUGGGGGCACUGGACCUGGUCUGUAUCCUGAUGGUGAAGGUGUUUAUAUAAAUCUACACAGGUGUUAAAACUCGUAGAACUGUACACCAAAAAGCCAAUUUACUGUAAAUACACUUUUUCGAGAAGAAUACAUUGGGGGAAAAUGACACUAUGUCACCUCUUUGCCUCAACCCUUAUCACCAACUCCCGUUUCCCUGGGGCUGCAACUGAAUUAAUUUCAGAUUUUCAAUUUUAUGGAUUUCCACUAAAACACAAAUUAAUGGAGAAAUAAGUAUUUUAUUAGGAUGGCAUUCACUAAAUUAAAUGGUUAAAAAAAUAUAACACUAAUUUUUCUGUGUAUUCCAUGUGCUAGGUGGAGUCUCAACAAAACCAACAGCUUUGUAUUGAAGUUUAGUGGACUUACCAUGUUGUGCUGGUUUCAGGUGCACAGCAAAGCGGUUCAUUUAUAUACAUAUUCAGUGAUAUAUUCAGUAAAAAAUAUAUAUAUAUUUUUCAGAUCCAGUCAUAUAUGAAAAAUAUAUUCACACAACACAUACAUACUCGUUUGCAGAUUCUUUUCCAUUAUAGGUUAUUACAAGGUACUGAAUAGCGUUCCCUGUGCUAUACAGUAGGUCCUUGUUUAACUUUUUUAUAUAUAACAGCGUGUAUCUUUUAAUCCCAAACUCCUAAUUUAUCCCUCCCCCACUUUCCUUUUUGGUAACCAUAAGUUUGUUUCCUAUGUCUGUGAGUCUGUUUCUAUUUUGUGAAGUUCAUUUGUGUCAUUUUUUUUUUUUUUUGGCUUCCACAUGUAAGUGGUAUCAUAAGAUCCUGGUCUCUGACUAUACUGUCUAGCCACUUAAUAUGAUCAUCUCUAGGUCCAUCCAUGUUGCUGCAAAUGGCAUUAUUUCAUUCUUUUCAGGGCUGAGUAAUAUUCCAUUGCAUACAUAGACCACGUCAUUAUUCAUCUGUCGAUGGACAUUGGGUUCUUCCACGUCUUGGCUGUCGUAAAUGGAUAGUAGGACUCUUGCCGUGGCAUAGUCUAUAGCGUGGUGCUGAGUACAGAGUAGGGAUCCAUUGGUUCUUCCUUAUGCUCUCUCUUUUGAAUUAUUUUUAAGUACAGGUGAUGGUAGUGACGAUAAUGAUGAUGACUGUGAUGAUAAAACGCUAUUUAAUUUGCAUGCAGUUGAUAAAAUAGACUGCCUUGAACUGAUACAAUCCUCAGAGCAACUCUUAGGCGUGUAUUUCUUUCUAUUCCCAUUUUAAUAAAAAAUGAAACUAGUGCUCAGAAAAAUUAAAUGCGUGUGUAAGAUUACAAUACAAAUGGUAUGUAGCAUAACCAGAACUUGAGCCCAGGCAUUUCAACUUUUUACUUCAAAUCCCUAGGACUUUGCAUUAUACAGUUUAGUCUAGAUUCACUUUAAAGACUUAGACCUCUUUCAAUUAGGCUCUUAUUUGAUGCAAAUGAUGGUAGUAAAGUCAAUUGAAGAAUGCUUAAAUGAGAUCAAAGUUCCCAAACCUUUUUUGAAAAAUGUAACCAGCUAAUGGUAGGCUUCAGCCAAAUGCCAAUGAGAACCUUGCAAUGCAAAAUCUUGAGGCUCUGAAUUAGUAGUGGAGUUUUAACGUGAAUUAAUUGUUGAGAACAUUUUCCAAAGAUAAAAUGACAAAAGCACAAACCUACAUGCUAUGCCAACUUGAUGAGGUGAAAUGGGAUGAGAAUAGAUGAUAUACUCUGAGAACAAGAAAAUGGAAAGAGGCAGGUUUACAUGGAUCCUUUAAAUACAUUGACUGCCAUCCUUUUAACGGGAAGAAGUAGCUUUGAAAAUCUCACACCAGAGAGAGGGGGAAAAAAACUUGCCAAACUCUCUUCUUUUUUUAACUCUAUUGUUUGAAUGUUCAGUCAUUUGGUCUAUUCUGGUUUUGAUUCACAAAUGAGUUUUCAGAAACUACCUUCCUCCUUUUUUUUUUUUAAUGAAAUAUUUAACUUUUCCUCUGAAGACUGACACCCCGUCUCUGGGACCUGAGAGGGAUCCCCCUGAAGCAUUCUGUUUUUGUCAGCUGAGUUUACUUGUAUACUGUCUACAAAAUCUGGAAUGGUUUUCUCCUAAGGUACAAUUCAUUGGCUGUUAUGGACGUCACAUUUUCAUCCCUGUAUUUAUGAAUUCUCCAAAUAUUUUUCGAAUGCCAGUUGCACAGGCCCUGUCCCGGGCGAAGGAAAUAGAAUCUUUGUCCUGAAAAAGCUCCCAAUUUUGACUCUGGUUCUCGCUCCACCAGACCUCUUGUUUCUCUUCCACUGAAUUCCAAGCUUUCUGUCUGUGGAUACAAGUGAAUGCUGCUUUUUACAGAAUUCUCCUCCUGUAGCCCGCAUCCCAUCUUGCUCAUUUACCUACGUUACAGAAAAAAGGCAAAGGGAUCAGUGAGUCACUUGAUUGGCUUCCCGGGUAGAGGAUGAUGCUGAGAGGGCCCUUGGCAUGGCCACGCCCCGUGCGUGCUAGAGCUUUCUAUACAUUGAGGGGGAAACGUAUCUUUGGCACCUUAGGAAAUAAAGAAAGGAAGACUAAAGACAGAACACAGGGGGGAUGACAACCUCUUAACCUUUUAAAACAGCUGUGUUUCAGUUCAGUUUGUUCCCCUUUGCUUUGAGAGGGGGGUGGGGGAAAGAGAGGUAACUCUAAUUACAAAGGCCACGUUCCUUUCAGCUAUACUAUUUUCAAUCCUAUAUAAUUUGUACAGCUGAAGUGGUAAAGUGCUUGCUUUGAAAUGUGGAGAGAAGGGCCCCCCCCCCUUUAAUGCUUAGGAAAGGUUUAACAAAAGGACUUUGAUUUAAACAAAAGGAAAAUUCUCCAGGGCCUCAUGAUUGGUAUCCUCAAGAAGGAGUUUGCUUCCCCGCAGUGGUGGCCCUUGGAGGAAUCUGCUCCUCUUCCCCUCCCCCUGUCCCCUGGUUGGUGUUUUUCCUCCUCUGGGAUCCAGUGUGUUCACAGACCACCACUGAAGUGGGGUGCAAAUAGGCUAGGAUGAAAGGCAUGACUGGGUUCCUGAAAGGGCCCCUCCAGGUGGCUCAGGAACAGGAUGGGCUGCAUCCCCUGCCUGGCAAGUCCAUUCCCAAGACGGAACUUGAUCCCCUGGAGCUGGAGCAGCCUGGCCAGCAUUNNNNNNNNNNNNNNNNGGGCAGAAGCUAGUUAUUGAACGCUGAGUCUGAGGCCAGGCGACAGGGACAUGUCAUUUCAAAUACGAUGCAAAGGCGUCUUGACACACUUUGAGGUGGGUCUCGCUCUGUCCAUGCUGCAGGGAAGAGAGGCUAGACAAAGCGGAAGUGAGUCAGCUCAAAGUUACCCUGCUAAUAAUAAACAUGCUGGUUUUGACCCUAAGUCGGUCUGAGUAAUAAAACCCAUGUCCUGUUCACCACGGCACAUUCCUUCCCGUGAAUCAGAAAGCAGUUUCUGGGGAAGGUGGUGGCAGAGGCCACAUGAUCGUGGGCAGUUGGAAGUCCUUCUGUCCUCCUCCUCCUGUUCUUGAGGAACCUGUUUGCAUGUGCGAACACACCGCGUCAGUGAUGGCUCCAGCCCUUUGCCUGUGUAAGUCCAGAUGCGAAAAAGAUUAACUGGACCAUGGAGACAAUACUUAAAUCCAAAGGUUUGCUAUCGUCGUGGGAGGAAAGUUGCACAAGAACCCUGUUUUGUUUUGUUUUUUUGCUUUUGCUUUUUGUCCCUGUGUUGAGGCACUAUAGCGCUGCUGCAAUAAUCACCCACAGGUUCAGGUAUCAUCCAUUGCCUUUAUUUUGUGAUUUACAAUUAUUUGUAGUAUCAGCUCUUUUCCUUUUUUCCUCCCUUUCUUUUUCUUUCUUUCUCUGUCUUUCUUUUCUUCUUUCCUUUUUUCUUUUUUUUGCAGUUGCGUCCCAAACGCUUAUUUCAUGGCACUGACUUGAUAUUUUCCAUGGUACCAUUCAUGACAUGCAGUGAUGAGUCAUUUUUAGAAAAACAGGUAUAGAGUGUAAUAUGAAAAUAAACAGGUCAGCAAACAUGAUUCUCUUCCUCACUUUUCAAAUUCUACCAUCCCCCCUCCCCCCAGGGUCCUGUCCCCCUUAUUGUUAUUUCUUUAGUUAGCAGCCCCUUUCUCAAGCACAAUCUUAUAUGGAACCUCAAUAUAUAUGACUGAUAAAGGAAGAUUUCGGUAGUAUGAUGUUUGUUAGAUUUCAGUGUGUAAUGCUGACUUAUAAAACCAAGACUAAAGAACAAUGAGGCUUUGUGAUGAACACAGAAAUUUGAAAUCGGUGUUACAGAUGACAGCUGCAGGCUUUUCUAACUUCAUUUUCCAGUUUAUUCCCUUUUGUUGAUUUUUUUACAAUAUUGUUGCACAGUAUUGAGAAAAUCUUGGUUCCCUAAAAUAUAGACUUGCAAGUAAUAAAAGGGUAUUGUAU
ensembl:lncRNA